rnacentral:lncRNA from 1 species
GCUUAAAUCUGUAUUAAAGCUUGGCCUCAAAGAGAAAUUUAUGACUGGGUGUACCUGUAAUCCCAGAACUCAGGAGGCAGAAACAGGAAUGGAGAGUUCCGGGCCAGCCUGAUCCGCCUCCAAAUUUAAUAAUGAGAGGGCUAGAGACCUGGUUCAGUGGCUAAGAAUGCUUGUUCUGGGGGCUGGAGAGAUGGCUCAGUGGUUAAGAGAACUGAUUGUUCUUCCAGAGGACCUGAUUUCAAUUCCCAGCAACCACAUGGUGGCUCACAGCCAUCUGUAAUGGGAUCUGAUGCCCUUUCUGGUGCCUGAAAACAACUACAGUGUACUCAUAUACAUAAAAUAAAUAAAUCUAUCUUAAAAAAAAAAAAAAAGAAUGCUUGUUCUGCAAAGGACCUGGGUUCGGUUCAAAGAACAGUCUAUAACUACAUUCCAUGAGUCUCACAGCUGCCUUUGACCUACAAGGACACGUGGUAGACACAUGGUAGACACGUGGAGGCAAAACAUUCAUACAAAAUAUAACUUUUUAAAAAGAAUUUAAUAAUAGCCUAUCCCUGGAACCAUUUCCAUAAGUCUCCCUCACUUUUCCAGAUGCAGAGGUAGCUUCGUGGUUAAGAACACUUACUGCUCUUACAUCAAACCCCAGAUUCAGUUCCCAUCACCCACAUCAGAAGGCUCACAACCAACUGGAACUAGUUCCAGGGGAAUCAAGACACUCUGUCCCACAUCAGACACCUGUAUACAUGUGGAACAUAUAAACUCAUACAAGCUCAUAUGCGUAAAUUAAAAAUAUAUAUUUUAAAAUAAUUACAUUUGCUCUGCUCAAAAUAAUAAUAGUAAAAAUGUUUAUAGCAGUAAACUGUUUCUUGAUGAAGUACUAGAUGCAUGGUUUCACUUUGAGAAAAUUCAGCGACUUAUAUGUACUGAUAGAUUUUAUGUUUUUCUUUUUUUUUUUUAAGAUUUAUUUAUUUAUUUAUUAUAUGUAAGUACGCUGUAGCUGUCUUCUGGUCUGCAGGCAUACAUGCAGACAAAGAGACUGUAUACAUAAAACAAUAAAUCCUUUUAGGAAAAAAAUCUGGUGGCAUAUAAGGGAACAGCCCUGUCCAUGAGAACCUGAAGACAAUAAAGUCUGCUGUCCGCUGGUCCAGGGACACGUCUCACAAUGGUGGAGCUAGCAGGCAUCUUUGUCUAAGCCUUUGUUCUUCAUAGGAUGGGAAUCCAUGAAGGCCUCGCCAUGGGAGCCUUCUUCAGUCCUCAUGUUUCUUAAAUACGUUACGGCAUAUUAAACAACAGAACUCAGUUGGUUUUGGGUUGUUUUGGUUUUAUUUUGAGACAGAAUCCUGGAAUUUGCUAUGUAGACCAGGCUAGCCUCAAACUCACAGAGCUCCUCCUGCCUCUGCCUUCCAAGUAUGAUUUGUAUCAAAGCAUUGAUAAAAAAAAUAUAUAUCUGAUUCCAGGGGAGGAGCUGUGUGAGGGGGAGGACUGGGAGGGAGGACUACAAUCAGGAUGUAAAGUCAAUCAAUCAAUCAAUGGAAAUUUUUUUGAAAACAGGAAAAACAACAAUAGAAGAUAUCUGAUUCCCUAAGAUUUACCCUUAAAAUAAAUCCGUGCACUUGAGAAACCUUUCCCCAGCUUAUUAAGAAAAGUCUUUCUGCCACAAGUACAAAGUAGACCUACCUGUGUACCAGGACAAUGUGUGAAGAUUUACAUGUCAGCAAAUAUGUAAUUAGUGAAACAAGUGAGUUGUGAAAUUGUAUAUUUAAUAUGAUCUCAUGUCUAAUUACAUGUUUGGCAGUAUAAGCAUACACCAGUAAUGAGUAUAUUUACCAAGGUGCUAAUUAGAUGAUUAUCUCUAAGUGAAGGAAUUAUAGACUUUUACUUUCUUAAUUUUUUUCUUGUCUAUAUAAUUUUCAAAUUUUUUAAUUUAGAGGACUGUUGAAAUCGUUCUGUAGCACUGGGCGGUGAUGGUGCAUGGCUUUAAUCCCAGCACUCAGGAAGCAGAGUAGGCGGGUCUCUGUGAGUUUGAGGCCAGCUUGGUCUAUAGAGCAAGUUCCACAUAGCCAGGACUACAUAGAGAAACCCUGUCUC